AGAGUUUGAUCCUGGCUCAGGAUGAACGCUGGCGGCGUGCUUAACACAUGCAAGUCGAGCGAAGCAGUUAAGUUGAUUUCUUCGGAUUGAUUCUUAAUUGACUGAGCGGCGGACGGGUGAGUAACGCGUGGGUGACCUGCCCCAUACCGGGGGAUAACAGCUGGAAACGGCUGCUAAUACCGCAUAAGCGCACAGAGCUGCAUGGCUCGGUGUGAAAAACUCCGGUGGUAUGGGAUGGGCCCGCGUCUGAUUAGGCAGUUGGCGGGGUAACGGCCCACCAAACCGACGAUCAGUAGCCGGCCUGAGAGGGCGACCGGCCACAUUGGGACUGAGACACGGCCCAAACUCCUACGGGAGGCAGCAGUGGGGAAUAUUGCACAAUGGGGGAAACCCUGAUGCAGCGACGCCGCGUGAGUGAAGAAGUAUUUCGGUAUGUAAAGCUCUAUCAGCAGGGAAGAUAAUGACGGUACCUGACUAAGAAGCCCCGGCUAACUACGUGCCAGCAGCCGCGGUAAUACGUAGGGGGCAAGCGUUAUCCGGAUUUACUGGGUGUAAAGGGAGCGUAGACGGCAAGGCAAGUCUGAUGUGAAAACCCAGGGCUUAACCCUGGGACUGCAUUGGAAACUGUCUGGCUCGAGUGCCGGAGAGGUAAGCGGAAUUCCUAGUGUAGCGGUGAAAUGCGUAGAUAUUAGGAGGAACACCAGUGGCGAAGGCGGCUUACUGGACGGUAACUGACGUUGAGGCUCGAAAGCGUGGGGAGCAAACAGGAUUAGAUACCCUGGUAGUCCACGCC
rnacentral:rRNA from 1 species